CUACGGGCGGCAGCAGUGGGGAAUAUUGCACAAUGGAGGAAACUCUGAUGCAGCCAUGCCGCGUGUGUGAAGAAGGCCCGAGGGUUGUAAAGCACUUUCAAUUGGGAGGAAGGUUGCGUAGCUAAUACCUGCGUAAUUUGACGUUACCUUUAGAAGAAGCACCGGCUAACUCUGUGCCAGCAGCCGCGGUAAUACAGAGGGUGCAAGCGUUAUUCGGAAUUACUGGGCGUAAAGCGCGCGUAGGCGGAUUGUUAAGUCAGAUGUGAAAGCCCUGGGCUCAACCUGGGAACGGCAUUUGAUACUGGCAGUCUAGAGUUUAAGAGAGGGAAGGGGAAUUUCUAGUGUAGCAGUGAAAUGCGUAGAUAUUAGAAGGAACAUCAGUGGCGAAGGCGCCUUCCUGGCUUAAAACUGACGCUGAGGUGCGAAAGCGUGGGUAGCGAACGGGAUUAGAUACCCCCGUAGUC
rnacentral:rRNA from 1 species